rnacentral:rRNA from 1 species
CCCUACGGGGGGCAGCAGUGAGGAAUAUUGGUCAAUGGUCGGGAGACUGAACCAGCCAAGCCGCGUGAGGGAUGAAGGUACAGAGUAUCGUAAACCUCUUUUGUCAGGGAACAAAGGCGGGGACGUGUCCCCGGAUGAGGGUACCUGAAGAAAAAGCAUCGGCUAACUCCGUGCCAGCAGCCGCGGUAAUACGGAGGAUGCGAGCGUUAUCCGGAUUUAUUGGGUUUAAAGGGUGCGCAGGCGGGCUGUUAAGUCAGCGGUCAAAGCCCGGGGCUCAACCCCGGCCCGCCGUUGAAACUGGCAGG